GGAGUUAGCCGGUGCUUCUUCUGCGAGUAACGUCACAGAUGUAAGGUAUUAACUUACACCCUUUCCUCCUCGCUGAAAGUGCUUUACAACCCGAAGGCCUUCUUCACACACGAGGCAUGGCUGCAUCAGGGUUUCCCCCAUUGUGCAAUAUUCCCCACUGCUGCCUCCCGUAGGAGUCUGGGCCGUGUCUCAGUCCCAGUGUGGCUGAUCAUCCUCUCAGACCAGCUAGGGAUCGUCGCCUAGGUGAGCCUUUACCUCACCUACUAGCUAAUCCCACCUGGGCUUAUCCAUCAGCGCAAGGCCCGAAGGUCCCCUGCUUUCCCCCGUAGGGCGUAUGCGGUAUUAGCAGUCGUUUCCAACUGUUAUCCCCCACAAAUGGGCAAAUUCCCAGGCAUUACUCACCCGUCCGCCGCUCGUCAUCUUCAAAAGCAAGCUUUUGAAAUGUUACCGCUCGACUUGCAUGUGUUAGGCCUGCCGCCAGCGUUCAAUCUGAACCAAGAUCAAAUUCUGA
rnacentral:rRNA from 1 species